rnacentral:tRNA from 1 species
GGGGCUAGGGCUCAGUGGUAGAGUGCUCACCUAGCAUGUGUGAGGUACUGGGUUCGAUCCUUAGCACCA